rnacentral:tRNA from 1 species
GGCCUGAUAGUUCAGUGGUAGAAUUCUUGCUUUGGGUUGCGAAAUCUAAAUUGUAAGAGGUCUCCGGUUCGAUCCCGGAUUAGGCCC